GUCCCGGCCCUAAACGGUGCGCAUUUGCUGUGGGCGGAAUCGACCCCGCCCGUGGCGGAGCUAACGCGUUAAAUGCGCCGCCUGGGGAGUACGGCCGCAAGGUUAAAACUCAAAGAAAUUGACGGGGGCCUGCACAAGCGGUGUAGUAUGUGGCUUAAUUCGAUGCAACGCGAAGAACCUUACCUGGCCUUGACAUGCAGAUGGUAGAAGCCUGAAAGGGUGACGACCCCGCAAGGGGAGUUUGCACAGGUGCUGCAUGGCUGUCGU
rnacentral:rRNA from 1 species